rnacentral:lncRNA from 1 species
GGGCAUCAGACACACCCAUGUGAACCAGCCGUGCCAAAGCAAGGCACUCAUACUAACUUUCACCCACGGCCAAUAGGCACGUCCGUGUGUUAUGGUCGUGUGAUACUUAGUUAGCUACUGACUUGAGAUCACAGCCAUAUGACACACCCAUGUGCUAUAGCCAUGUAGAUCUUAAGAGGUUACAGAUUUUCGUACACGGCCACAAGGCACGCCCGUGUCCC